GCUGCUUUGCUGACGAGUGGCGGACGGGUGAGUAAUGUCUGGGAAACUGCCCGAUGGAGGGGGAUAACUACUGGAAACGGUAGCUAAUACCGCAUAAUGUCGCAAGACCAAAGAGGGGGACCUUCGGGCCUCUUGCCAUCGGAUGUGCCCAGAUGGGAUUAGCUUGUUGGUGAGGUAACGGCUCACCAAGGCGACGAUCCCUAGCUGGUCUGAGAGGAUGACCAGCCACACUGGAACUGAGACACGGUCCAGACUCCUACGGGAGGCAGCAGUGGGGAAUAUUGCACAAUGGGCGCAAGCCUGAUGCAGCCAUGCCGCGUGUAUGAAGAAGGCCUUCGGGUUGUAAAGUACUUUCAGCGGGGAGGAAGGGGUUAAGGUUAAUAACCUUAGCCAUUGACGUUACCCGCAGAAGAAGCACCGGCUAACUCCGUGCCAGCAGCCGCGGUAAUACGGAGGGUGCAAGCGUUAAUCGGAAUUACUGGGCGUAAAGCGCACGCAGGCGGUCUGUCAAGUCGGAUGUGA
rnacentral:rRNA from 1 species